GUCUCAUGUCACAGCAAGUCAGCUGGUUCCUGGGGUUUUUCCAAACAUGUUAGAUAGACAAUUACCAAAAACAUGAGACAUGGAUUUCCGAACAUGCCUUGUGCGCAAUUUCCAUCAAGGACAAAUCGCUAUGAACACUUAUUUGUUACUAGAGUUAAUCCAAUACAACACUAAGCAGAGGCAUGUUAUACAACUUGUUAUAUAUGAC